GGAGUGGGAAGGUACCUGGUGGGCCUCCCGGGCUUCAAACCCGGCGCAGAGCUUCAAUAAGGAGUUCUGGGUGGGUUCGAUUCCCAUCCACUCCCGCCA
rnacentral:tRNA from 1 species